UACGUAGGGUGCAAGCGUUGUCCGGAAUUAUUGGGCGUAAAGAGCUCGUAGGCGGUUUGUCGCGUCUGCUGUGAAAACCGGAGGCUCAACCUCCGGCCUGCAGUGGGUACGGGCAGACUAGAGUGCGGUAGGGGAGAUUGGAAUUCCUGGUGUAGCGGUGGAAUGCGCAGAUAUCAGGAGGAACACCGAUGGCGAAGGCAGAUCUCUGGGCCGGAACUGACGCUGAGGAGCGAAAGUGUGGGGAGCGAACAGG
rnacentral:rRNA from 1 species